UACGAAGGGGCUAGCGUUGCUCGGAAUUACUGGGCGUAAGCGCACGUAGGCGGCUUCUAAGUCGGGGGUGAAAUCCUGGAGCUCAACUCCAGAACUGCCUUCGAUACUGGAAGCUCGAGUCCGGGAGAGGUGAGUGGAACUGCGAGUGUAGAGGUGAAAUUCGUAGAUAUUCGCAAGAACACCAGUGGCGAAGGCGGCUCACUGGCCCGGUACUGACGCUGAGGUGCGAAAGCGUGGGGAGCAAACAGG
rnacentral:rRNA from 1 species